rnacentral:rRNA from 1 species
UACGGAGGGUGCAAACGUUGUUCGGAUUCAUUGGGCGUAAAGGGUGCGUAGGCGGCGCGGUAAGUCGGGUGUGAAAUCUCGGAGCUUAACUCCGAAACUGCAUUCGAUACUGCCGUGCUUGAGGACUGGAGAGGAGACUGGAAUUUACGGUGUAGCGGUGAAAUGCGUAGAUAUCUGAAGGACAUCAGUGGCGAAGGCGGAUCUCUGGGCCUUACCUGACGCUGAGGAGCGAAAGCAUGGGGAGCAAACAGG